rnacentral:pre_miRNA from 1 species
AUAACAUCAGACCGUCGGUCUAACGAGCAACUUCACCCGCUCGGUGGAAGAUCUUCCCUUUGUCAC